UGGCUCAGAUGGUAAAGAAUCUGCCUGCAAUGCAGGAGACCCAGGUUCGAUCCCUGG
rfam:Ovis aries breed Texel chromosome 13, whole genome shotgun sequence.